rnacentral:rRNA from 1 species
UACGGGGGGGGCAAGCGUUGUUCGGAAUUACUGGGCGUAAAGGGCGCGUAGGCGGGUGCUCAAGUCCGGGGUGAAAUCCUCCAGCUCAACUGGAGAACUGCCUCGGAUACUGGAUGCCUCGAGCGGGGUAGGGGCAGGCUGGAACUUUCGGUGGAGCGGUGAAAUGCGUAGAUAUCGGAAGGAACGGCCGGUGGCGAAAGCGAGCUGCUGGACCCCUCCUGGACCGCUGAGGCGCGAAAGCCAGGG